GACGAACGCUGGCGGCGUGCUUAACACAUGCAAGUCGAACGAUGAACCCGGAGCUUGCUCCGGUGGAUUAGUGGCGAACGGGUGAGUAACACGUGAGUAACCUGCCCUUGACUCUGGGAUAACUGCGGGAAACUGUAGCUAAUACCGGAUACGACCCUCGGCGGCAUCGCCAGGGGGUGGAAAGAAUUUCGGUCAAGGAUGGACUCGCGGCCUAUCAGCUAGGUGGUGAGGUAACGGCUCACCAAGGCGACGACGGGUAGCCGGCCUGAGGGGGUGCCGGGCGACCCUGGGACUGAGACACGGCCCAGACUCCUACGGAAGGCAGCAGUGGGGAAUAUUGCACAAUGGGCGCAAGCCUGACGCAGCAACGCCGCGUGCGGGAUGACGGCCUUCGGGUUGUAAACCGCUUUCAGCAGGGAAGAAGCCGCAAGGUGACGGUACCUGCAGAAGAAGCACCGGCUAACUACGUGCCAGCAGCCGCCGUAA
rnacentral:rRNA from 1 species